rnacentral:rRNA from 1 species
GAUGAACGCUGGCGGCGUGCCUAAUACAUGCAAGUAGAGCGCUGAAGGAGGAGCUUGCUCUUCUGGAUGAGUUGCGAACGGGUGAGUAACGCGUAGGUAACCUGCCUGGUAGCGGGGGAUAACUAUUGGAAACGAUAGCUAAUACCGCAUGACAACAGUUAUUGCAUGAUAACUGUUUAAAAGGGGCAACUGCUCCACUACCAGAUGGACCUGCGUUGUAUUAGCUAGUUGGUGAGGUAACGGCUCACCAAGGCGACGAUACAUAGCCGACCUGAGAGGGUGAUCGGCCACACUGGGACUGAGACACGGCCCAGACUCCUACGGGAGGCAGCAGUAGGGAAUCUUCGGCAAUGGACGGAAGUCUGACCGAGCAACGCCGCGUGAGUGAAGAAGGUUUUCGGAUCGUAAAGCUCUGUUGUAAGAGAAGAACGAGUGUGAGAGUGGAAAGUUCACACUGUGACGGUAUCUUACCAGAAAGGGACGGCUAACUACGU